rnacentral:tRNA from 1 species
GGGGUUGUAGCUCAGUGGUAGAGUACUUGCCUCUCAGGUAUGAGGCCCUGGGUUCGAUCCACAGCACCACA